UGCUACAUGAGUAGGCAAGACUUCAACUGAUAUUUUUAGGAAAGAGGAAUGGAUAAUGGGUAAUCCCAUCUCAUCCCCCGCUCCCCCGCCAAUGCUAAGAAUAGACAUUAUGAAUCGACUCCUGUGGUCUUACUGAGCUUUUAAGUCAGGAAACCACAAUCUGCAAAUAUACAAAAUAAAGCAACAUUUUAGAAGCAUAAAAAACCAAAAAACAUCUCAUAAUACCCUCAACCAAAUACCAGACUAGGCAAAAAGGUGUGUCAUAUCUUCUAAAACUUGCCCUGACUCCAACUUUGGAAGACCUCCCAAGGAAGGCUAUGCAAUUCUAGAGCUAUUUUAGAUCUGGAGAGGACAAAACAAACUCAAUCUUGGGACUUUCCAAUUUACACUGGAUACCCAAGGUCACUAUGAUCAGAGACAGGUGCAAGAGGAAGGGAAGACAUAAAGUCCAGACAAAAAUCAUCAGGAGAAGGAGCCAGACCUCAAACGGUUAACGUUAAUGAGACAUGAAAAAGCCACAGGAGUUUAACAGCUUUAACGUACAGGAGAGGUGUUUUCAAUUACAAAAGCCAAAAAGAGAGAGAGGAAAAAAUUAU